rnacentral:rRNA from 1 species
GACGAACGCUGGCGGCGUGCUUAACACAUGCAAGUCGAACGGAAAGGCCCUGCUUUUGCGGGGUGCUCGAGUGGCGAACGGGUGAGUAACACGUGAGUAACCUGCCCUUGACUUUGGGAUAACUUCAGGAAACUGGGGCUAAUACCGGAUAGGAGCUCCUGCUGCAUGGUGGGGGUUGGAAAGUUUCGGCGGUUGGGGAUGGACUCGCGGCUUAUCAGCUUGUUGGUGGGGUAGUGGCUUACCAAGGGUUUGACGGGUAGCCGGCCUGAGAGGGUGACCGGCCACCUUGGGACUGAGAUACGGAGCAGACGGCUACGGUAGGCAGCGGUGGGGAAUAUUGCACAGUGGGCGGAAGUGUGAUGCAGCAACGCCGCGUGCGGGAUAACGGGCUUCGGGUUGUAAACAGCUUUCGCCUGUGACGAAGCGUGAGUGACGGUAAUGGGUAAGGAAGCACCGGCUAACUACGUG